rnacentral:rRNA from 1 species
UGGGUGACAGCCCCGUAUAGGAAGCAUGAUUUGACGUAUUAAGUAGGGCGGAACACGUGAAAUUCUGUCUGAACAUGGGGGGACCACCCUCUAAGGCUAAGUACUCCUUACUGACCGAUAGCGAACCAGUACCGUGAGGGAAAGGUGAAAAGCACCCCGACGAGGGGAGUGAAACAGUUUCUGAAACCGGACGCCUACAAACAGUUGGAGCCCCUUAUGGGGUGACAGCGUACCUUUUGUAUAAUGGGUCAACGACUUGGUCUUACUAGCAAGCUUAAGCCGAUAGGUGUAGGCGCAGCGAAAGCGAGUCUUAAUAGGGCGAAUGAGUUAGUAGGAUCAGACCCGAAACCGAGUGAUCUAGGCAUGAGCAGGUUGAAGGUAAGGUAACACUUACUGGAGGACCGAACCCACAUCUGUUGAAAAAGAUCGGGAUGACUUGUGCCUAGGGGUGAAAGGCCAAUCAAACUCGGAGAUAGCUGGUUCUCCGCGAAAUCUAUUUAGGUAGAGCGUCGCACGAAUACCUUGGGGGGUAGAGCACUGAAUGGGUAAUGGGGACUCACCGUCUUACUGAUCCUAAUCAAACUCCGAAUACCCAAGAGUAAUAUGCGGCAGACACACUGCGGAUGCUAACGUCCGUAGUGGAGAGGGAAACAACCCUGACCCUCAGCUAAGGCCCCUAAUUCAUGGCUAAGUGGGAAAGCAGGUGGGACGACCAAAACAACCAGGAAGUUGGCUUAGAAGCAGCCAUCUUUUAAAGAUAGCGUAACAGCUCACUGGUCUAAUUUAAGUUAUCCUGCGGCGAAGAUGUACCGGGGCUCAAGCCAUGAGCCGAAGCUAGGGAUGCAAUUUAUUGCAUGGUAGCGGAGCGU